GCUGGAGUAGCUCAGAUGGUAGAGCGCGUCAUUGGUAAUGACGAGGUCACGGGUCCGAUUCCCGUCCCCAGCU
rnacentral:tRNA from 1 species